GAUGCCCUUGAUUCUGUCAUUAGUUUUCUUUGUUUCCACCUCUUCUCUCUAGAUGCAAGCAUUGAGCCAUCUGAGCCUGAGAAAAGUCAAAAGGGAUCUCUAAUACCUGGACCUAGAAGUCAAUGCAGAGGAUUCAUUCUGAUAAAAAACCAUCCACAAAACUCUGCUAUGAAAGAAUAACAGUUCUACAAAAGGAAUUGACUUGAGAGCCUCUACAGGCUGUAAUCCAGGCUCCCCCCGUUCUGCUGGUGACAACUACCUCUGCACCUGGCACUAGCUUCACUGCGAGCACCUCAGAAGGAAGAAUAAAGAUGCGGAGGAUAAUCUAGAAUUGUGGCCCCAUCAGAAUGUUGAGAUGGAAAGCAGGUGUGAAAGUAAAGAGCUUGAUGUUGAAAUACAGAACCUGAUAGAGAAGAAUAACACUUCCCAGUCCUGUGAGGACCCUGAACCUGUUGCUCAAGAGAGUAGGAAUCCUCAGAGAAUUUUGAGUUCCCUUAAGAUCUGUGGAGAAACAAAUGUUCAAGGCCAUUCUGGAUGUGCAUGGGCAGAUGUAAGUGACAUGGAAGCCCCAGCAGACCCACUAGAAUCAAGGCACAUACUAGUGACUAAAAAGAAGACUAUAUCAGCCAGUUCACUGGAACGACAGAUCCUCUCACUGGAAAGACAGAGACGAGAGCUUCUGGAGGUGAACAAGCAAUGGGAUCAUCAAUUCAGAAAUAUGAAACAGCUUUAUGAAAAACAGCUGGCAGAAAUGAAAACAAAACUGGACAUGUCAGAGAGGAGAGUCGGUGAGCUGGAGGAAGAGAGACAUCGACAGCAUCCAGAAAAUGAGAGGCUGCGAGUCCUGGGCAGAGAAAGGCCACUGCAGGACACGAAAGAAACAAAGGUCCUUAGUGAAGCCCUUCAUGAAAUGAAGGAAGAGAACAAGAUUCUGAAGCAGAAGAAUGCCUCAAUGAUCAGAAAGAAAGAACACUAUGAGUGUGAAAUAAGUCGUCUCAAUAAGGCCCUUCUGGAUGUGUUGAAAAAGCAGCACUCACCUGUUCUUGGGACUCCUUCAGAGAAGAAUGACACGAACAGCCUUGAGGACAUGAAAAUCCAACUUGAAGUUCUCAGACAGCAGGUACAAAUAUAUGAAGAAGACUUCAGAAAGGAGAGAUCUGACAGAGAACGACUUAAUGAGGAGAAAGAAGAAUUGCAGAAAAUAAAUGAGAGAUUACAGUCUCAACUGAGUAAACUAAACUGUCAGACAAAAGACCUCCCAGUACAGUCUGAGAGGCUCAGCUACCCACCUUCGCUCUUUCUUUCACCGUGUGUUAAUUAUGGGAGCUGUGGACUCGUUCUUCCCUAUCAAGAUCCUCAAGCACACCCAGCAUCUCGUAGGCCCCAUGAGCAGCAGCAGCACUCGCCAGACUAUCAGUGGUAUGUUCCUGACCAGUUUCCGCCAGAUGUGCAGCACAAGGCAAAUGCUUGAGCGAGUUACUGUCAAAUACAUCUGUGAACCACAGACACCUACUUAACAGUAGAUUCAUCUUCAGAGAAGGGAGCCCAUCGCUGACAGCCUAUGACCUGGAGGAGUGUAGACCAAAGACUACAAGCUAGUCUUGCAACUUCAUUAUUGUUUUGCUCUGCCUUUUCUUUUUUUUUUUCUUCCUCCUAGCUCCUUAUCUCUUCAGUGCACAUUAUUUAUGCCUGCUGAAAUCCCUGUGAGGACAAUAGAAAAAGCAGAUCAUACAGGCUAGUGAUCCUCAGGAUCCAGUUAAACUGCUGGGAAGCAUUAUUGCCCUUUGUUCUGAAGAUGCUGUUUGUGUUGCCUGUGAGAAUCGGUUAAAAAGCCUUAUGAUAAAAGAUGGAGCUAUUGCUGGGGAUUCAGCAACAGUCACAUCUGGUUUGAAUUCAGGAGCUUUUAAGCCCAAUAGGGUUGUGAUUUUUUUUUUUGUUUGAGAAUUACAGUCUUUUUAAUUUGAUUCCACUGAAUGAUUUUUUUUUUAUGAUGUACCAUCUUGAAUUCUGUACACUUUCUCUUGGUUGUUUAGUAAAAAGGAAAUCUGCUUCACCAUUUUAACACAUUUGUGUAAUUGUAAGCAGGGCACCGCUGAUGCCAGGCCAGGUAGAAGGUGCCUACUUCCCUUUUUGAGCCAAGGCCAGCUCUCCUUCUGUUUCCUCCAAAAUUAUAUGAAAAAUGUAACCAGUUUUUCCUGGAUGUACUUAUUUGUAUCAGUAAAAUUUUAGCAGAAAGAUUUCAUGGGUUUAAUUUGUUAGUGAAAAUGGCUUUAUAUUUCCAAAUGAUUCUUGUAAUGAAUCGAGCUGUAAUGAAUCUGAACAUUGUUCUGUAACCUCUAACCUGGGAAUAAAACUGAGCUUGUAAAAUGAA